GUUUUCCAGUCACAUCGGGGAUUUAACCACUUUUUAACCUUGUACUGGCACGCACGUGUGUCAACCUCGGGAGAGGGGCAAGGGGAAGACGAUAUGUCACCAAAGAUGAUGACGUCAUAGUUCAAAGUUCACCAGAGGACGCGUUGCUAGGCCAUCAUGACGCAAGUUGUGACUACAUUCAAGUAAUGGAUAACAGCAGAAAAACUGGUGAACCAGCAAAUUAAUCUUCUUGAUCCGGGAGCGGGUCAAGCGAUCACAGCGACAGCGGAAGAAGACUAUUACAGUAAUUAUUAGUAAGAACUUCUGAGUAAAAGUGAAGAAGUGUAUAAAUAUACAAUACUUUUGUAGUAAAUUUCUCACAACAUUU